UACGUAGGGGGCAAGCGUUGUCCGGAUUCAUUGGGCGUAAAGCGCGUGUAGGCGGCCAGGUAGGUCCGACGUGAAAACUGGAGGCUCAACCUCCAGCUGUCGUUGGAAACCAUCUGGCUAGAGUCCGGAAGAGGAGAGUGGAAUUCCUGGUGUAGCGGUGAAAUGCGCAGAUAUCAGGAAGAACACCAAUGGCGAAGGCAGCUCUCUGGGACGGUACUGACGCUGAGACGCGAAGGCGUGGGGAGCGAACAGG
rnacentral:rRNA from 1 species